AGCUGCGGCAGCGACACUGUGUGUUGUUGGGUAGGGGAGCGUUCUGUAAGCCUGUGAAGGUGUGUCGUGAGGCAUGCUGGAGGUAUCAGAAGUGCGAAUGCUGACAUAAGUAACGAUAAAGCGGGUGAAAAGCCCGCUCGCCGGAAGACCAAGGGUUCCUGUCCAACGUUAAUCGGGGCAGGGUGAGUCGACCCCUAAGGCGAGGCCGAAAGGCGUAGUCGAUGGGAAACGGGUUAAUAUUCCCGUACUUGGUGUUACUGCGAAGGGGGGACGGAGAAGGCUAUGUUGGCCGGGCGACGGUUGUCCCGGUUUAAGCGUGUAGGUGUGUGUUCCAGGUAAAUCCGGUUCACUUUAACACUGAGGCGUGACGACGAGGCACUACGGUGCUGAAGCAACAAAUGCCCUGCUUCCAGGAAAAGCCUCUAAGCAUCAGGUAACAUCAAAUCGUACCCCAAACCGACACAGGUGGUCAGGUAGAGAAUACCAAGGCGCUUGAGAGAACUCGGGUGAAGGAACUAGGCAAAAUGGUGCCGUAACUUCGGGAGAAGGCACGCUGACACGUAGGUGAAGUGAUUUACUCAUGGAGCUGAAGUCAGUCGAAGAUACCAGCUGGCUGCAACUGUUUAUUAAAAACACAGCACUGUGCAAACACGAAAGUGGACGUAUACGGUGUGACGCCUGCCCGGUGCCGGAAGGUUAAUUGAUGGGGUCAGCGCAAGCGAAGCUCCUGAUCGAAGCCCCGGUAAACGGCGGCCGUAACUAUAACGGUCCUAAGGUAGCGAAAUUCCUUGUCGGGUAAGUUCCGACCUGCACGAAUGGCGUAAUGAUGGCCAGGCUGUCUCCACCCGAGACUCAGUGAAAUUGAACUCGCUGUGAAGAUGCAGUGUACCCGCGGCAAGACGGAAAGACCCCGUGAACCUUUACUAUAGCUUGACACUGAACAUUGAGCCUUGAUGUGUAGGAUAGGUGGGAGGCUUUGAAGUGUGGACGCCAGUCUGCAUGGAGCCGACCUUGAAAUACCACCCUUUAAUGUUUGAUGUUCUAACGUGGACCCGUUACCCGGGUUGCGGACAGUGUCUGGUGGGUAGUUUGACUGGGGCGGUCUCCUCC
rnacentral:rRNA from 1 species